rnacentral:rRNA from 1 species
UGCAAGUCGAACGAUGAAGCUCUCUGCUUGCAGAGAGUGGAUUAGUGGCGAACGGGUGAGUAACACGUGGGUAACCUGCCCAUAAGAGGGGGAUAACAUUCGGAAACGGAUGCUAAUACCGCAUAUGUCUUUGAGACGCCUGUCUCUUAGACGAAAGGUGGCUUCGGCUGCCGCUUAUGGAUGGACCCGCGGCGUAUUAGCUAGUUGGUGAGGUAAUGGCUCACCAAGGCAUUGAUACGUAGCCGACCUGAGAGGGUGAUCGGCCACACUGGGACUGAGACACGGCCCAGACUCCUACGGGAGGCAGCAGUAGGGAAUCUUCCACAAUGGGUGAAAACCUGAUGGAGCAAUACCGCGUGAGUGAAGAAGGUCUUCGGAUCGUAAAGCUCUGUUGUUAGAGAAGAACAAGUCGGGUAGUAACUGCCCCGACCUUGACGGUAUCUAACCAGAAAGUCACGGCUAACUACGUGCCAGCAGCCGCGGUAAUACGUAGGUGACAAGCGUUGUCCGGAUUUAUUGGGCGUAAAGCGAGCGCAGGCGGUCUUUUAAGUCUGAUGUGAAAGCCCACGGCUCAACCGUGGAGGGUCAUUGGAAACUGGAAGACUUGAAUGCAGAAGAGGAAAGUGGAAUUCCAUGUGUAGCGGUGAAAUGCGUAGAUAUAUGGAGGAACACCAGUGGCGAAGGCGACUUUCUGGUCUGUAAUUGACGCUGAGGCUCGAAAGCGUGGGGAGCGAACAGGAUUAGAUACCCUGGUAGUCCACGCCGUAAACGAUGAGUGCUAAGUGUUGGAGGGUUUCCGCCCUUCAGUGCUGGAGCUAACGCAUUAAGCACUCCGCCUGGGGAGUACGGCCGCAAGGCUGAAACUCAAAGGAAUUGACGGGGACCCGCACAAGCGGGGGAGCAUGUGGUUUAAUUC